rnacentral:rRNA from 1 species
UACGUAGGUGGCAAGCGUUGUCCGGAUUUACUGGGUGUAAAGGGCGUGCAGCCGGAGAGACAAGUCAGAUGUGAAAUCCACGGGCUCAACCCGUGAACUGCAUUUGAAACUGUUUCCCUUGAGUGUCGGAGAGGUAAUCGGAAUUCCUUGUGUAGCGGUGAAAUGCGUAGGUAUAAGGAAGAACACCAGUGGCGAAGGCGGAUUACUGGACAAUAACUGACGGUGAGGCGCGAAAGCGUGGGGAGCAAACAGG